rnacentral:rRNA from 1 species
UACGAAGGGGGCUAGCGUUGUUCGGAUUUACUGGGCGUAAAGCGCACGUAGGCGGUUUGUUAAGUCAGGGGUGAAAUCCCGGAGCUCAACUCCGGAACUGCCUUUGAUACUGGCAAGCUAGAGUCCGGAAGAGGUAAGUGGAACUCCUAGUGUAGAGGUGGAAUUCGUAGAUAUUAGGAAGAACACCAGUGGCGAAGGCGGGCUUACUGA